rnacentral:rRNA from 1 species
CCUACGGGGGACAGCAGUGAGGAAUAUUGGUCAAUGGACGAGAGUCUGAACCAGCCAAGUAGCGUGAAGGAUGACGGCCCUAUGGGUUGUAAACUUCUUUUAUACGGGAAUAAAACGCGGCACGUGUGCCUUUUUGCAUGUACCGCAUGAAUAAGGACCGGCUAACUCCGUGCCAGCAGCCGCGGUAAUACGGAGGGUCCGGGCGUUAUCCGGAUUUAUUGGGUUUAAAGGGAGCGUAGAUGGGAUGUUAAGUCUGUUGUGAAAGUUUGCGGCUCAACCGUGAAAUUGCAAUUGAUACUGGCAGUCUUGAGUGCAGGUGAGGUAGGCGGAAUUCGUGGUGUAGCGGUGAAAUGCUUAGAUAUCACGAAGAACCCCGAUUGCGAAGGCAGCUUACUGAACUGUUACUGACGUUGAUGCUCGAAGGUGUGGGUAUCAAACAGGAUUAGAUACCCCAGUAGUC